rnacentral:misc_RNA from 1 species
GAUGAAGAACGCAGCGAAAUGCGAUAAGUAAUGUGAAUUGCAGAAUUCAGUGAAUCAUCGAAUCUUUGAACGCACAUUGCGCCCAUUAGUAUUCUAGUGGGCAUGCCUGUUCGAGCGUCAUUAAUUCCACUUAAGCCCUGCUUAGUGUUGGGAAUCUACUCUAGUGGUGCUACCCUGGAGCUACCCCUGAAAGGGGGCUGGCCCGGUAGCUACCCUGUAGUUCCUCAAAGAUAGUGCGCUGAGUUGCGUGGUCCUCUGAGCUUAGUAACUAUACACCUAGCUUUUGAGUGUCCCGCGGCGCCUGCCGUUUAAACCCCAUCUUUUAAUGGUUGACCUCGGAUCAGGUAGGAAUACCCGCUGAACUUAAGCAUAUCAAUAAGCGGAGGA